rnacentral:rRNA from 1 species
ACUGUUUCGGCUAGGGGGCCAUCCCGGCUUACCAACCCGAUGCAAACUGCGAAUACCGGAGAAUGUUAUCACGGGAGACACACGGCGGGUGCUAACGUCCGUCGUGAAGAGGGAAACAACCCAGACCGCCAGCUAAGGUCCCAAAGUCAUGGUUAAGUGGGAAACGAUGUGGGAAGGCCCAGACAGCCAGGAUGUUGGCUUAGAAGCAGCCAUCAUUUAAAGAAAGCGUAAUAGCUCACUGGUCGAGUCGGCCUGCGCGGAAGAUGUAACGGGGCUAAACCAUG